UUGCCUCUUUAUCUCCUCCCAGCGCUGGUUACAGAGCGCGGCAGCCCGCAUCGGUGCGCUCAGCGCCAGAGCGCCCGGACACGCAGCAGCCCCGGACUCCUGGACGGUACGCAGAGCCUAGCCGGGCUCCCCGAGCUGCCCGGGACCAGGGAGAAGAAUGCAACGCCACACAGCACUUUUCCACCCAGGAAUGAUCCUCAAAAUUGAGGUCUAUAUGAAGAAUCAUAUUUUACACCAUGUCUAAUUUGCAUCAAUCAAGUCUGUCUCCACAGUAACACUGAAAUUACUCCAGACUGCACGUGACUGUGGCCUGCAAGCAGUAGCUGUGCAUUACCUCUCUUAGCAGCCUUCCACGUCCAGGCAGAAAAAUCCAUGUAUUUUCCUGACUGUGUUUGGAGUGUCAGACAUAACCCCUUGCCUCUCACCAUCACUUUGGGAUCAUACUGCUGCAGCUCUAGUUGUUACUUUGAACUGAAACUACUGUAAUGUUCACAUUUUUUAUACUCUCAACAUGGCAGUUAAAUAAAAUGUUAUUUUAUAAACUAA